rnacentral:snRNA from 14 species
GGAUGUGAGGGCGAUCUGGCUGCGACAUCUUUCACCCUAUUGAUCGCCAGUGUUGAUUCGGCUGAUCUGGCUGGCUAGGCGGGUGUCCCCUUCCUCCCUCACCGCUUCAUGUGCGUCCCUCCCGAAGCUGCGCGCUCGGUCGAAGAGGACGACCUUCCCCGAAUAGAGGGGGACCGGUCUUCGGUCAAGGGUAUACGAGUAGCUGCGCUCCCCUGCUAGAACCUCCAAAUAACUGAAGACCCAGUAAAGAACCCACACAGCUAUGGCUACUUGAUAAUUGACAAAGGAUCAAAAACCAUCCAGUGGAUAAAAAGAUGGUAUAU